CCAAGCUUAAUUCCAAAGCAGUUUGAUAAGUCUGGAGGUCUGAGAUCACAGAACGUCCAGGCCAAGACUUGCCCAGUCAGAAUGAAACAUGUUUCUGGAGUACAUUGGCUCUGUUCAUCCAGUUAGAAGAACAGCAUUUCUUCAGGGGCAUCUCAACAGAGACACGACAUAGGGAAGGUACAGAAUUCUGUAUGCCUGGAUGCAUUGCGAGCUGGCCUAAAGAGAUGCACACG
rnacentral:lncRNA from 10 species